UCAGUGAAAUUGAACUCGCUGUGAAGAUGCAGUGUACCCGCGGCAAGACGGAAAGACCCCGUGAACCUUUACUAUAGCUUGACACUGAACAUUGAGCCUUGAUGUGUAGGAUAGGUGGGAGGCUUAGAAGUGUGGACGCCAGUCUGCAUGGAGCCGACCUUGAAAUACCACCCUUUAAUGUUUGAUGUUCUAACGUUGACCCGUAAUCCGGGUUGCGGACAGUGUCUGGUGGGUAGUUUGACUGGGGCGGUCU
rnacentral:rRNA from 1 species